UCCUGGCUGGCUCAGUCGGUAGAGCAUGUGACUCUUGAUCUCGGGGUUGUGAGUUCAAACCCCAUGUCAAGCC
rnacentral:tRNA from 1 species